rnacentral:rRNA from 1 species
CACGCNGUAAACGAUGAGUGCUAGGUGUUAGGCCCUUUCCGGGGCUUAGUGCCGGAGCUAACGCAAUAAGCACUCCGCCUGGGGAGUACGACCGCAAGGUUGAAACUCAAAGGAAUUGACGGGGGCCCGCACAAGCGGUGGAGCAUGUGGUUUAAUUCGAAGCAACGCGAAGAACCUUACCAGGUCUUGACAUCCCGAUGCUAUUCUUAGAGAUAGGAAGUUACUUCGGUACAUCGGAGACAGGUGGUGCAUGGUUGUCGUCAGCUCGUGUCGUGAGAUGUUGGGUUAAGUCCCGCAACGAGCGCAACCCUUAUUGUUAGUUGCCAUCAUUAAGUUGGGCACUCUAGCGAGACUGCCGGUAAUAAACCGGAGGAAGGUGGGGAUGACGUCAAAUCAUCAUGCCCCUUAUGACCUGGGCUACACACGUGCUACAAUGGUCGGUACAACGAGUUGCGAGCCGGUGACGGCAAGCUAAUCUCUGAAAGCCGAUCUCAGUUCGGAUUGGAGGCUGCAACUCGCCUCCAUGAAGUCGGAAUCGCUAGUAAUCGCGGAUCAGCACGCCGCGGUGAAUACGUUCCCGGGCCUUGUACACACCGCCCGUCACACCACGAGAGUUUGUAACACCCGAANU